rnacentral:rRNA from 1 species
AGUGAACGCUGGCGGUAGGCCUAACACAUGCAAGUCGAACGGCAGCACAGUAAGAGCUUGCUCUUACGGGUGGCGAGUGGCGGACGGGUGAGGAAUACAUCGGAAUCUACUUUUUCGUGGGGGAUAACGUAGGGAAACUUACGCUAAUACCGCAUACGACCUACGGGUGAAAGUAGGGGAUCUUCGGACCUUGCGCGAUUGAAUGAGCCGAUGUCGGAUUAGCUAGUUGGCGGGGUAAAGGCCCACCAAGGCGACGACCCGUAGCUGGUCUGAGAGGAUGAUCAGCCACACUGGAACUGAGACACGGUCCAGACUCCUACGGGAGGCAGCAGUGGGGAAUAUUGGACAAUCGGCGCAAGCCUGAUCCAGCCAUACCGCGUGGGUGAAGAAGGCCUUCGGGUUGUAAAGCCCUUUUGUUGGGAAAGAAAAGCAGCAGGUUAAUACCCCGCUGUUCUGACGGUACCCAAAGAAUAAGCACCGGCUAACUUCGUG